UGAUAGCUAUGAAGCGCGAGGUUGCUGCCGAAAAGGCAGGUUUUCCGUGGAGCGAAUGUCAUGUUAGGAAACUGACGACAA
rfam:Firmicutes bacterium CAG:227 genomic scaffold, scf234